CUGCAGAGAAAUGCUCUACGAUGGGCAUUAGCUAAAGUUGACAAGAAUAUAAUUAUUGCAACAAUGAUGCGUCGUAACAAUAAAUACAGAUGUUUGGAAACUUCGGACUAUAGCACCAUUCAUUUUAACCCAGAUCAUCACACUACAAGCCGGCUGCAGAUCAUUCGACACUCGUUGAUUCAAAAUCCAAGGAGUCGUGCCAUCAACAAUUUUCUGGAGAACAGACAAGCACAAUUGACAACUAUGAUACCAGAUUGAGACGUGUUUUAGCUUAUUAUAGUAGAUAUACUUUAUUAAUUAUAUGUAGUAGAACACUUCGUAACAAUGAUUUGGUCUCUAUUUGUAUUGGUCAUGUGUCCAGUCUUA